GACAGUGACCAACACCAGGCUUUCUGGUCAAACAGCCUGAGCUCCUGGGCGGAUUUUCCUGGUGUUUUCAGCAGAAGGAACAGCUGUCCCGGGAUUUGCUGGUAUUCCCAGGGAGCUGGAACUGAAUUGUUGGCCAAACUGCAGAUGAUUCGUUUAAGGGUCGGAAUGAGAGACAGACAGGGCUUUCGGAGAUAAAUAAUGAACUCCACGUGGGUACACCAUUGAGCCGUAUCCUCAAGGGUUAACAGCUUAAAGGUUAUUGGGGUUUCUGGCUACACGCUAAGAGUCCUGCUUCCUAAUUGAGUUUCAGGCUGAAGAGAAGAGAGAGACCUGCGGCUGUUUCCGCCCACUCGUCCCAGCACAGCCACCAGAGAACGCCGCGUGGUUUGUUGUUUGGACCCUCCCAGAGCCUCUUCCAGAUGCUGUUGGAAAAAAAGAAAAGAAAAGCUGGGCAGCCAGUGUCACAGCCCAGAUGCCAUCUCGGUCUAUCCGCGGAAAUGCAAGCACGCAGCGCCAAGCCCAACCCAGUAGGUGCCAGGCCCUGGGUGCAGGCUUCAGCUUCACGCCACAUCCUCUCUCUCUUUUCAGUCUCUGAGUGACUUGACUCAGCCAGGGAGAGGAGAUACCUACACAUCCGCAUGAAGGCGCGUGGGAGGAAGCCGAGAAAUGACGGAUGGCGCAGGGCCUACUGCAGCCGCACGUAGACUAGCUCCUUCUUUACGGGCAAAACCCCCUACUUGUCUGCAGUGGGAAAGGAGUCCGUUCAGGGCAAGCUCUGAUCGCUGAGCUAUGGAUGUAGAUGGUAACUAGGCGUCUGGAGGUCAUUACACACCAUAUUCGGAUGGUGGAAAUCAUUGCUUAUUUCAGGACACUAAAAUGGUCCAUUUUUAUGUAUUAAAGUUAUUAAGAAUGAA